rnacentral:rRNA from 1 species
UACGGAGGGUGCGAGCGUUAAUCGGAAUUACUGGGCGUAAAGCGCAUGCAGGUGGUUCAUUAAGUCAGAUGUGAAAGCCCGGGGCUCAACCUCGGAACUGCAUUUGAAACUGGUGAACUAGAGUACAGUAGAGGGUGGUGGAAUUUCCAGUGUAGCGGUGAAAUGCGUAGAGAUUGGAAGGAACAUCAGUGGCGAAGGCGGCCCCCUGGACAGAUACUGACACUCAGAUGCGAAAGCGUGGGGAGCAAACAGG